GACGAACGCUGGCGGCGUGCUUAACACAUGCAAGUCGAACGGAAAGGCCCUGCUUUUGUGGGGUGCUCGAGUGGCGAACGGGUGAGUAACACGUGAGUAACCUGCCCUUGACUUUGGGAUAACUUCAGGAAACUGGGGCUAAUACCGGAUAGGAGCUCCUGCUGCAUGGUGGGGGUUGGAAAGUUUCGGCGGUUGGGGAUAGACUCGCGGCUUAUCAGCUUGUUGGUGGGGUAGUGGCUUACCAAGGCUUUGACGGGUAGCCGGCCUGAGAGGGUGACCGGCCACAUUGGGACUGAGAUACGGCCCAGACUCCUACGGGAGGCAGCAGUGGGGAAUAUUGCACAAUGGGCGGAAGCCUGAUGCAGCAACGCCGCGUGCGGGAUGACGGCCUUCGGGUUGUAAACCGCUUUCGCCCGUGACGAAGCGUGAGUGACGGUAAUGGGUAAAGAAGCACCGGCUAACUACGUGCCAGCAGCCGCGGUGAUACGUAGGGUGCGAGCGUUGUCCGGAUUUAUUGGGCGUAAAGGGCUCGUAGGUGGUUGAUCGCGUCGGAAGUGUAAUCUUGGGGCUUAACCCUGAGCGUGCUUUCGAUACGGGUUGACUUGAGGAAGGUAGGGGAGAAUGGAAUUCCUGGCGGAGCGGUGGAAUGCGCAGAUAUCAGGAGGAACACCAGUGGCGAAGGCGGUUCUCUGGGCCUUUCCUGACGCUGAGGAGCGAAAGCGUGGGGAGCGAACAGGCUUAGAUACCCUGGUAGUCCACGCUGUAAACGGUGGGUACUAGGUGUGGGGUCCAUUCCACGGGUUCCGUGCCGUAGCUAACGCUUUAAGUACCCCGCCUGGGGAGUACGGCCGCAAGGCUAAAACUCAAAGGAAUUGACGGGGCCCCGCACAAGCGGCGGAGCAUGCGGAUUAAUUCGAUGCAACGCGUAGAACCUUACCUGGGUUUGACAUGGAUCGGGAGCGCUCAGAGAUGGGUGUGCCUCUUUUGGGGUCGGUUCACAGGUGGUGCAUGGCUGUCGUCAGCUCGUGUCGUGAGAUGUUGGGUUAAGUCCCGCAACGAGCGCAACCCUUGUUCACUGUUGCCAGCACGUUAUGGUGGGGACUCAGUGGAGACCGCCGGGGUCAACUCGGAGGAAGGUGGGGAUGACGUCAAGUCAUCAUGCCCCUUAUGUCCAGGGCUUCACGCAUGCUACAAUGGCUGGUACAGAGAGUGGCGAGCCUGUGAGGGUGAGCGAAUCUCGGAAAGCCGGUCUCAGUUCGGAUUGGGGUCUGCAACUCGACCUCAUGAAGUCGGAGUCGCUAGUAAUCGCAGAUCAGCAACGCUGCGGUGAAUACGUUCCCGGGGCU
rnacentral:rRNA from 1 species